UCUCACACCCCGCAAGCCACGCACGACUCCCAUCCUCAUCCCCCACCCCGUUCGUCAAACUCCUGGUCUAGGCCAAGCAACCGUCGACGCCCCAUCCCCCACUGAGUUCGCCAUUCCCAUGCCUGCCCCUGUACCCCCUCCCCCUCCGCCCGAUCGAUCUCCUCCACCAAUACGCUGGAAUCGAUAUCAGCGACGCCGUCGAUGAUAGUGGCGGCAGGCCAGCCAGGAAGCCCAAGGGCGGCGAUGCGGCCGUCGCCAAGCGAUCCAUCAAGGGGAAGGAUGACGGGAUGACUCCAAGCGAUGGCCAACAGAUGAAGGACCGCGUGCAGUCUAGGGCCUCACCACUAAAAUUGCGGUGGUCGCUCGAAAAGGAAGAGGAUUCGGCGCACAGAGGAAGAGGACGGUUGCAAGUUGGAGAGUAAGAGGCCAACUAGGUGGAUACUCUUCGCACUCCUCGGUACAAACUACAGAGCCCUCCACGAAACAGUCCUCUUCUACUGUGCCCAGCAGCGAUCAACGAUAAUCUGGAGGGCGCACAAGUACCUUGAGUCCCAGAUCAUCCCCACGGGUAUAUUGAUUUCUUCCUAUUGCAAUUCAUGAGUUCUAACCACGAACGUACAGGCUAACCAGUUUCGCUUCAGCCUGUCCGUAACUAAUUUACUAAUUCAGGUUGGUCGAGCUUUUGCAGUCUUAGUUCAGAAAGAGGUCAUGAGAAUAAAAAUCGCCACAUACAAGGCUUUGAAAAGAACUGCCCGGCGUUCUUAGCAACAAUGCAUGGAAUCCAAUGCUUCUAACAAAAUGUCCAGAAAAAAUUGCAUAUGGAGACAAUGUCACACAUCGAGAAAGAAUCAGUACGGGCAAACAUGAUGGUUUGGUUGACAAAAUGUUGUUUCUUUUUCCCCGCCGGUGAAGCAGUUAAGCAGGUCUUGCCAAGAGGAUUAACAACGUUGAUUCUGCAAGUGCUUGGAUAUAACGGUGUAUCAGUUCUCUACUUUUUACGUGUUUGUUUAUUUUCUUUGUGAGACCUUAGCAUGCACUAGCUUAGUCAAAAGCCCCGCAGAAUAAUAUAUGCUCUUUCUUUCAGUGCAGAUCCAACAACGCCUUUUUACUAGAUUUUAUGUUAUGUAACUUUGUAUGUUCUAGCAGAGAGGCACCCAAAGGAGAGAAGUAGAAGUCAAGUGAGAACAUAAUACUGAUGUGAGUUUUCUAAACCAUAAGUGCAUAUGCCCAGUGGACAUGUAUACAUAUCUUCCAUAAUACGCUGAGAUUUUGCAAAGAUUCCAUGUGGAAAAGCUCUACAGUUAAUUGGUGAUGCUUGACAUGCAUGUUCAGUAUAUAGAAUAACAAAAUGGAGUGAUUUGUCACCCUCCCUAUUGUAGAUCGAUAGUAUAUUACUGCUAAGGGUUAGUAGUGGAUGACAAUAUCAUAAACAAAGCGCUCCUGAUGAUUAUCAAAGGCUUGGCUUAAACAUGUUAACCCAGCUUUCGCGUGCGGCGACCUCGCUUCUGGCCUGUCCCGGCGACUCCCCCAUCCUGAAGGUCUUGGCUGUCGGUGGGUGGGAUCGCUAGACGCCGCGUUGAGUGUGUAUAACAGUAGCUAGGGUAGCUAGGUUGCUAGGUUUUCGGCCGUGUAUCUCAUCUGUGCCGGUGGGGGUGAUAGCGGCAGAGAACAAGAGGCCUUCAGAGUACCUUCUGAAGUGGUGGUUUCCCUUGUUGUCGGCGCUGGUUAUGGUUGGCGAGCUAUGUAACGUCCAGGUGCUAGAUCCGGGCGAGCGCAUGUUUGGUCUGUAUGGUGGCAUCAAGGCAACGGCGGCCGCUGCUAUGGACCUUUGUCCCCCUCCCUCUGCUCCCUCUUUGUUGGUGUCCACUCCGACGCCAUCAAGGUGGGCGAGGGGAUGUGUACAGGAGCCUCUUAGUGGGUGUUACUUAGCUCCGUGGUAGCGACACUGGUGCUUCGAGUUGGUUGGCUAUACAGAGACAAGUUUCGAGACUUGAAGGUGGUAGAUCUGGUGGUUUCCCUCGACGGUGUCGAUGGGGGUGGCCAGAUCUGGGGCCAGAGCUACACAGGGAUGAUCCCCAGUCGAUGUGGACACAUCGAUAGGAGCUUCACCGGCGGCAGAGCGCUCCAUCGACUCACAAAUCUGAUCGACGUCGAUGGUGUGCCUUUGGUUCUUGGUGUGCAGACGGCACAUCAUCUUCUCUCCCGCGGGCGCGAAGACAGUGUUGGGACGGACCUUCAUGGUCUUGGUGGAGUUUGGGGACCCCAGGGGCUUGUAACUUCCUUUUUUGGGUGCCUUUUUUUGUGUCUGGACAAUUGUUCUGUCUUGAAGCUUUGUGCGGUGUCUGCAUGUGUGCGCUUUGUAUCACUCUUUAAAUAUACUCCAUAUUAUAACACAAUGCGAUCUUUCUCAAAAAACAAAAUCCAUAUUCAGGUUUCUUGGAGUUGUUAUGGAAAUACUAAACUAUCUGUUUUUUUCCUUAUAUAUCCAUUCUUUAAUUUUUUAUCUGUUGAAUUUGAUAAAUGGUGCACGUGAUCUGAGAUGUUUCAUCGGAUGGGGAUGAUGAUGCUGUCAGCAAGAGUAGAAAGCAACAUAAUCUGCACUGCCGACCUGUUGCACUUGUUAUUCAGUAUUCUGAUUGUUAUUUCAGUGUAGAAAUUUUCUUGGCAUAAGUAAACAUUGAAAGUUGCACAACAGAUUUCCUGUAGGAAAUAGUAUAUUGCAUGGAUAAGCACAUUCAAAUAUCUUGUGAGCUAAAGAAUCUUGUAAGUCCCAAAAUUCAACAAGGAUUCUCACUGCGGUACGAGAAAAUUUAGUUUCCCAUUAUAGUGUACACUAUUUUAGGUUGAAUCGAAUCCAACCAAAACUUAUCCUUCUUACUGAAAGUAUAAGUUAGUGCAAUUGGACAGAACAUUGUAGCAAGGAAGACAUGCUCAGCUGCAUAUUGAAUGAUAUUGCCGGAGAGGGCGAGAUGUUUGUUGCGACACCCAGCGAUGCCAUAUGCAUGUCACGCUCAACAUUCGUCUUUUGUGUCAAUUACAAACUAAAAUAUAGUUAAACUGCACUUCUGACAAAAACUUUGAGAGCAUAUACCCUUAUUGUUACUUCAUUUUAGUAGAAGUGCAGUUUCGUAUGUUAGAUGUUGUUGCAAGUAUACAAGUUGCACUAAUUGUUACUUUAUUUUGUGAACGGCCGGUAAUCAGUGAGCUCUAAAGUCCUCUGGUAUUGUUCACCCUCAUAGUACUUCCCUCUAAAGUCCUCUGGUAUUGUUCACCCGCACCUGUUAGAUGUCAACCUCAUGCAUGGAUUUUUGUGUAAAUUGUAGCUGUAUAUUAUUUGUGUGAUUUCUAUUUGGGAAUUUCUACAUUUAUCUUUGGAUGGCCGCAAAGCAUAUUGAUUCUGACCUUUUUUUCUUGUGAUUGAUGCCUCGGUCUAAGGCCGCUGAGGCAAUCAGCCCUCAAGAAAGCUUUGUCAACAUCUGGAAAGGGAAAGAAGGCCACGAGCGGUAAAAUAGGUCUAUAGUCACCUGUGUAGAUUGGGCUGUCAGAUCCUGAUGAUGAACAGUGUGUUUGAGAUAUGUAUGCUAAUGUCCGGAAUAUUUCAAAAGUCAGUCCGAACCCCAAGAGCCAUCUUCAAUUUGAACUAAAACGAGAAAGUUUUUUGUUUGCUAGAUCUCAUGAAAAUCAACACUGGAGUAAGCAUUGACAGUACCUCAAUAUAUCGUUAGGUUUUCUUACGCAAUAUUCAGCAUAUGUGUAUUGAUUCAGUUAGCGUCAUGGGGAAUGCUUCGGUUUUUUGAAGUUAAUUGCAACUGGUAUUUUUGUGCUGA